AGUCGCAGAGUACGGGUGUACAAGUUAGUGUUUUAGGGCGUGUUGUUACUGUGAGGUGGUACCCCGUUACCCUUUUUGGGUCGCUAGGGCUAAGAGCCCCCCUAGGUUACUCAUUUUGUACAGCGUCGAAACUGGAAUAGAUAGGAAGAAAAAAAAAAUUGACAGCCUGCGUAUAUAGGUUGUUGGAUGCAUAAGUUUGCGAGCCUUCACAGUGUUUAAGAGAGAAGUGGAUAAGGACGUGCGAAGGAUAGCUGAUGAAGCAGGGUGUGAGUGAUACGUAAGGUUGCGAGCAGCCGCGUCGAACAGGGUGGUUGAUCAUGGCGGCAACGAGGAGGCGUGGUCGACGACCGGGCGGCGGGAAGGGUAAGGGGUGGAAGGACUUGAAGGUGACGGGUUUCGUGAAAUGAGGCGAUUUGAAUGUGGAGGAGACGACGGUGUGAUGGGAUCAGUGUUGGAGUGAGCUGUGGCAGCCGAGCAGACGGUGGUGGGAGAUGUCCCGGUUGAGGUAAUAUGGUGGAGAAUGUGAGGACCCCUGGGCUGUGUGGAGGAGCACAGCGAGACGCCGGCAGUUCAGUGUUCGUAAAGAGUUGGUAGUGUGUGAAGUGUUUGGUCGAUGUUUGGGCCGUUUCCUACAGAGUAAAGAUGGCGAGAUCAUGGUAAUCAUCGUGGUUGAUGGAAUGUGAGGCAGCGGACUUUGACGUACAAGUUAACCGGGUGGAGGAUGUGCAAGACAGAAUAUUGGUGAAUAGAAGGAUGAGGCGACGCAUAACGUGAAUAGAAAGGGGUUGAUAAAUUGAAAGAUACGAAGAAGGGACAAUAGAGAAUGUUGUAUCGUGAUAGGAAAUGUUACACUAUUGAAGAUUGAUUGAAAUAUGAAAUGAUAGUUGAAAGUGGUACCUUGAAGGGGAAAUUGUUAAGCAGAGAUCGUAAUUUUGUGUUAAUAUUGUAGAAUAUUUAUUGUAAUGAAUAACUAAGUUACGUAUUAUAAGUUGAAAUAGUGUUUGGAUGAUAGAGGGGGCCAAAUGAUUUGGUUGUGAAUGAAUGUUUGCGUGAAGUUGUGGAAAAUGUGUGAACCGAAUGUUAUGGAAGGUUUUUAGUACAUGUGUGAGUUAAUAAGUCGUGUAAUAAAUGACCUAAAUAUAAACAUUAUCCAAUGAAUGAUGUUGUUGUUUGCUGUUUUAGUUUACCAAUAAUUAUAAUUGAAGUAAGAAAUUGGAUGUAAUGAGGUAAUUAUGAAAGGUGUAGUGAGAGGAGCAAGUUUGAGUAAGAUUGUGAAUUCGUAUGUGGUUUGAGGCAUUAUUUGUAAGUGUUUGUGAAAAUAGAGAUUUAUGUUUGGGGUGUUGAUUGUUGUUGUGAGGGUUGAUGGUGGGGUGUAUGUUUUGAAUGAGGUUGUUUGUAUUGUAAUUGUGUGUGAGGAGUUGUUUGGUGUGAGUUUGUUGACGUUGUAUUGUGAAAAUGUAGUUUUAGGAGUGUCUAAGCUGCAUAGUGUUGUUGCAUAUCGUUAGAUUUUGGCUGUGAGGCUUAGGUGUCGUUAAUUUUAGGGAUUUCCGGAUUGGUGUUUGGAUAUGACGUGUGGUAGUGAUUGUAGGGGUGUAUUGCUUGAAAAGUGAAAUACGUGUGUCUGUCUGGUCGUGGGCCGUUGAAUGAUGAAGAAUAAGGCAGGGGAAACGUUUGAGUUUGAUGAAAAGCAUUGAAGUUAUUAUGGGUUUUGAUGCAUUAGCGUUAUGAAUAGGUUAGAGUGCAUCCUGCGUGCUGGGAGAUGUCCCGUGAGUUAUUAUUGUAAUUGAGAGACUGGUCGUCGUUGUUGUAUGGUGUAGUGUUGUUUUUUUUGGCGUGAGAUUGAGGGUAGUGGGGCAUUGUCAAUGUAUAAUUGAUAGUUAAUUGCUAAAUGUGUGGUCGUGGAAGCGUUGUUGGUAGUUUAGUAAGACUAGGGAUAAUGGCUGGACGUGGAGGAGCGUGUGGUACGUUGGGUUCCCAAUGAGAAUGGUGUGUUUUGAUGGUAUGUUAGGUUGAUGAGGUAGUGUUUUUUGUUGAUCGUGAGGGUUGAUGGUGUUGUUAUGUAGGGGCGUGUGAUUGUUGUAGAUAGCGUUGCCGGUUGUGUGGAGGAAUAGUAAAAAUGGUGUAUGGGUAUGAAAUGUUUGUGAAUAAAAUAAGAUAGCAAGGAUGGAUGGAUUGGUUGGUUGCAUAUGGAGUAGUGUGGAGAGGCUGCACUUGUGAAGAUGGUGUUGAAAGUGUUUGGUCGUGUUUGAAGUUAAAUGAAUGAAUUAUGUGAUGGUUGUUGUUUGUUUAGGGGGAAUGAGUGUAAUGUUUGUGUGUCAGCGUUUGUAUGUUGAAUGAUGUUUAGUGUAUGUUGAAUUAGUUUUUGUUAUU
rnacentral:lncRNA from 1 species